GGGAAGGUGGCUCAGUGGUAGAAUGCUUGCCUUUCAUGCAUGAGGCCCUGGGUUCAAUUCCCCAGCGCCA
rnacentral:tRNA from 1 species